rnacentral:misc_RNA from 1 species
GAAAUGCGAUACGUGAUGCGAAUCGCAGAGAUCGGCGAGUCAUCCAAGUUUCGAACGCACCUUGCGCUCUCAGUGCUCCUGAGAGCACAUCCGUCUGAGCGUCGCCCCAAUCUUUUUCAAUCACCUAACAGGUGUUUGGCUCUUGGCUCUUUGCUAUGACCUAGUGUCGAUGGCAUUAGCUUGAAAGCAAUGAUGAAUCAGCUGUACCUGUGUAUUAGUGAGACACUACUGGGUACCUGCAUUGGCAGUGAGGAGUUCUGCUCCUCUAAGUCCAGUGACUGGUGCUGUGUAGUUGGCUUCCUGAUAUAGUGGUUAGCAAGUGACAUCAAUAAAGUUGUUAGUGUACCUUCACAAGGACCGACCUCAGAUCGGGUGACGUAACCCGCCGAACUUAA